rnacentral:lncRNA from 1 species
CACUGCUGGCUCGGGCUUUUCUACAGAGUUCAUUUCCUCAAACUCAAAUGUCAGUGACUCCAAGAGCUUCUUCUUAGCCCUCCUUGGGUCCCACUCUGUUCUGUCCCAUGUGAGUUGAUCCACACUCUUGGCUUUAGUUGCUGCCCACUUUGCACUCUCUGGCUUGACCUUCCUCCUGAGUGCAUUUUCUGCAACCCUGCAACCAGCCCACCUGGCUGUCCCUUAGGAGUGUCGGUGCCAACCUGCGCAUCUCUGACUCAUCAUAGAGACCCAAACCCACACCACCCCGCCCACCUCUGAGCGAGGCCCUCCUCAUCCACCCAACUGCCCAGAUCAGAAGACUUUCUCUUUUACUGGACCAACCACUAGUCGCUAUAACUAGUGUCACAAUAGUCAUUGGUCCACCCGUCCUCCGGAUUGGUCAUCUCCUGAAGUCCUCUACCAUGUCCCUGGGUGAUCAGGGAAAUCUUCUACUCAGUCCUGCUGUCUUUGUUCCUUCCCCUCUUAGCUACCCAUGUGACCUUUACAGAACACAAACUAGAUGUCGACCUGAUGUCUGCAGGAUUAGGCUGCUGCCAGCUUCCCUCAUCUUGCGCCACACCUCUUUUGGCCAGACCUUUCCCCUACAAUCCAAGCCUACAUUUUCACCUGCUGGCCACCCUCUCAAACUUAUAUUACAAAGUGCAUCUGCUUCCUCCAAACCUUCCUUUGUGCUGUCCUCCCAGCAGCCUCUCCUCUCAGGACUAGAGAUGGUCGAGUCCUGAUAAUCCCAACUCCUGAGUUCUUCGUGUCCAUCACUUCCACUGGGGCCUCCUCCAAGCCCUCAGCACUUUUUGAAGGCCAUCUCAGUGUCAUGGAAUCUCCAGGGUAUCGCACCCACUUCCCUUUGGGGCCACCAGCACAAAGCAGGGAAGGAGCAAAAGCUCCGUUUGACAGAAUAAAGCACAGUGAUUAGGCAUGGGGCUUGCUUUAGUGACCUGGCUUGACAAUAUGAUGUACACAUUGGCUGCUCUUCAUCCCCUGCUGGCAUAGGACUCAUCUUUAAUCAUUAUCUGCCGCCUCUUCCACCUGUCCAGUCUGGUGUCCUGUGGGUGGCCCAGUGGGCCAUCAACUGAAGCUCAGUCUUCCUCUCUCCCUUCGCCUUCCAGCCUUCUCCUUCACCCAUGCCUGGAAGAAUCCCACCCUUAAAUCCUGCUGGGAAGAUAGUGACACAGGUCAGCUUUGUCACUGAGGGUCCCUUUCCCACUGCCCCCUAAAGGCCCAGCCACCACCCACAAGCCCUCAUGAGACCUUUCAUGGCUAUCUAAGCAGAACCCCUCAGCAAGCACAGCACCAGAAGGGCCGCAGAGGGUCCUUCUAAGGCAGAAUACAACAUCAUAACUGUACCCACUUAUCCAACACUUCCUAACUACCCAGC